rfam:Thiocapsa sp. KS1 genome assembly, scaffold: THKS1_scaffold1
GCCCAGGUAGCUCAGUUGGUAGAGCAGAGGACUGAAAAUCCUCGUGUCGGUGGUUCGAUUCCGCCCCUGGGCA